GUUUGGCAACGUGAUUUACUCAGCUGAGGCCUGUGCAGGCAGCAGCACAAGGCAGGGUCACGGCAAGGCACGGGACCGGUGCGGGCAGAGACCGGCAGGGAAGGCCAUGGCUGCGAGGGCUGCCGGGACCCCCGCACCACGGCCAGACCGCACCAGGGUGAAGGGAGAUGAAGGAUGCACGUGGGGGGCAAGAUGGGGAGCUGUGUGCUCCCUGCCCACCCUGCCUGCCCCUUCACCGUGCCCCUAUCCCCACCUGCCCCGAAUGGACCCCCUGCUCCAGCCCUGGCCCCUACACAGCCCUGCUUGUGCCCCUCAUUCUGGGCUCUGUCAGACCCUGCUCCCAGCUCACCAUGCCUCCAGCCCUCCCCCAGUGUGCAGCAGACAUAGCCAGGCUGCGUGUUCCCUGAUCCCCUUUCUUGGGGAUACUGCUGCAGAUGUCCCCAAGGCACAGGGAUGAGGGGGACACAGCCCAUUGCCAGGGCCGAGAGCAGGCUGGGUCCUUUCAGGGCACCACGUCACCCUGCCCAGGCAAGCUGGGGGAUGGCCAGUCACCCAGAAGGGGGACAGGCCACAGGGUGCCCACCUUGCCUCGAAACCAGGGUAGUGAAGUGGGCUAGGAGUUGCCGCUCUGCAAGCGCGUGGUCCAGCCAGCAGCUCCCAGCCAAGGCACCCUGGCAGUGGGGUGAGGGCUCAGCCCCUACACCCCUGCUCCAUCCUCUGCAGCAGGCCAGCAGCCCCAGCGCUCCACAGUCUUCCUGGGGGCAGAGGAGCCGAGCCCCAGCCACCCCGUCCCCGUGCUGCUCCAGCGGGUGCCAGGGCUAUAGCCAGAGAGAGAAGGCACCACGGCUGCCCUGCGGCACUUGGGUGGAGGGGUCCUCCCCAGCCAUGGGGGUUUGGCAGGGGGGGCUUGGCGGAGACAGAGGGCAGGGGGGCACCCAGCAGUGCCACAUCCCUGCUCUGGGGAUGGCAGGGCCAGCUGAUGCCCAGUGGGGGGGUCCCUUCUGCGGCGGGAGGGGACGUGGGGCACCAUCACGCUGUCAGGUUGUGUGCAGACUUGGAGGCACCCUGGGCCCUCUGGA
rnacentral:lncRNA from 1 species